UUCUCCGAUUGUGGGACUCCUGGCUCAGCUGGAGAAGAUAAACACUGAAUCAGCAGAAUCAGAUACUGCCAGAUAUGUCACAUCAAAGAUUCCUCAUCUUGCUGAAAGUCAAGGCAGACUUAGACAGUGAAAGAGAGAUACAGAGAGAAAUGUCUUCCUUCUGUUGGUUCACCCCCCAAAUGGCCACUACAACCGGCGCGCUGUGCCGGUCCAAAGCCACGAGACAUGUGCUUCCUACAGGUCUCCCAUGCGGGUGCAGGGCCCAGCACUUGGGCUAUCCUCACUGCCUUCCCGGGCCACAGCAGAGACUGACUGAAAAAGCAGCAAGUGGGACAGAAUCUGACGCCUCAACCGGGACUAGAACCUGGAGUACCAGCACCACAGGAACACCUAGAUGAAUGCCACUCCUACAUGAGAAUUUGGAUAGCACUGUACAAAAGAUGUGUUGAAGCUGGU